CAGUCGCCGCGGGAACACAGAGGGUGCGAGCGUUAAUCGGAUUUACUGGGCGUAAAGCGUGCGUAGGCGGCUAAUUGAGUCGGAUGUGAAAUCCCCGAGCUUAACUUGGGAAUUGCAUUCGAUACUGGUUAGCUAGAGUGUGGGAGAGGAUGGUAGAAUUCCAGGUGUAGCGGUGAAAUGCGUAGAGAUCUGGAGGAAUACCGAUGGCGAAGGCAGCCAUCUGGCCUAACACUGACGCUGAGGUACGAAAGCAUGGGGAGCAAACAGGAUUAGAUACCCGCGUAGUCCCUGUCUCUUAUAC
rnacentral:rRNA from 1 species